UCGUACGAGAACUCUUUAGCUUGCUAAAGAUAGUAAAGUGGCGUACGGGUGAGUAACGCGUGGGUAAUCUACCUCCGAAUCGGGGAUAACCCGCCGAAAGGCGAGCUAAUACCGGAUAAUAUCUAUAAAAUAUUGAUUUUAAAGAUCAAAGGUGGUCUCUACAUGUAAGCUACUGUUUGGAGAUGAGCCCGCGUACCAUUAGCUUGUUGGUAGGGUAAUGGCUUACCAAGGCUUCGAUGGUUAGCUGGUCUGAGAGGAUGAUCAGCCACACUGGAACUGACACACGGUCCAGACUCCUACGGGAGGCAGCAGUGAGGAAUUUUGCGCAAUGGGGGAAACCCUGACGCAGCAACGCCGCGUGAGUGAUGAAGGCUUUCGGGUCGUAAAGCUCUGUCAAGUGGGAAGAAUAUGCUUGAUGCUAAUACCAUCAUGCACUGACGGUACCACUGAAGGAAGCACCGGCUAACUCCGUGCCAGCAGCCGCGGUAAUACGGGGGGUGCAAGCGUUACCCGGAAU
rnacentral:rRNA from 1 species